GAACUGAAGAGUUUGAUCAUGGCUCAGAUUGAACGCUGGCGGCAGGCCUAACACAUGCAAGUCGAGCGGAUGAGUGGAGCUUGCUCCAUGAUUCAGCGGCGGACGGGUGAGUAAUGCCUAGGAAUCUGCCUGGUAGUGGGGGACAACGUUUCGAAAGGAACGCUAAUACCGCAUACGUCCUACGGGAGAAAGUGGGGGAUCUUCGGACCUCACGCUAUCAGAUGAGCCUAGGUCGGAUUAGCUAGUUGGUGAGGUAAAGGCUCACCAAGGCGACGAUCCGUAACUGGUCUGAGAGGAUGAUCAGUCACACUGGAACUGAGACACGGUCCAGACUCCUACGGGAGGCAGCAGUGGGGAAUAUUGGACAAUGGGCGAAAGCCUGAUCCAGCCAUGCCGCGUGUGUGAAGAAGGUCUUCGGAUUGUAAAGCACUUUAAGUUGGGAGGAAGGGCAGUAAG
rnacentral:rRNA from 1 species